rnacentral:tRNA from 2 species
GGGCAGGUGAUCCGAUUGGUAAUGGUGAUUCUCUGUAAAAGAAUUGGUUAGCACCGUAAAAGGUUCGAUUCCUUUACUGCUCA